UACGAACUGUGCAAACGUUAUUCGGAAUCACUGGGCGUAAAGGGCUCGUAGGCGGCCAACUAAGUCAUACGUGAAAUCCCUCGGCUUAACCGGGGAACUGCGUCUGAUACUGGAUGGCUUGAGAUUGGGAGAGGGAUGCGGAAUUCCAGGUGUAGCGGUGAAAUGCGUAGAUAUCUGGAGGAACACCGGUGGCGAAGGCGGCAUCCUGGACCAACACUGACGCUGAGUGAGCGAAAGCCAGGGGAGCAAACGGG
rnacentral:rRNA from 1 species